CAUGCAAGUCGAACGAGUUCUGAUUAUUGAAAGGUGCUUGCAUCUUGAUUUAAUUUUGAACGAGUGGCGGACGGGUGAGUAACACGUGGGUAACCUGCCCUUAAGUGGGGGAUAACAUUUGGAAACAGAUGCUAAUACCGCAUAAAUCCAAGAACCGCAUGGUUCUUGGCUGAAAGAUGGCGUAAGCUAUCGCUUUUGGAUGGACCCGCGGCGUAUUAGCUAGUUGGUGAGGUAACGGCUCACCAAGGCAAUGAUACGUAGCCGAACUGAGAGGUUGAUCGGCCACAUUGGGACUGAGACACGGCCCAAACUCCUACGGGAGGCAGCAGUAGGGAAUCUUCCACAAUGGACGCAAGUCUGAUGGAGCAACGCCGCGUGAGUGAAGAAGGCUUUCGGGUCGUAAAACUCUGUUGUUGGAGAAGAAUGGUCGGCAGAGUAACUGUUGUCGGCGUGACGGUAUCCAACCAGAAAGCCACGGCUAACUACGUGCCAGCAGCCGCGGUAAUACGUAGGUGGCAAGCGUUAUCCGGAUUUAUUGGGCGUAAAGCGAGCGCAGGCGGUUUUUUAAGUCUGAUGUGAAAGCCCUCGGCUUAACCGAGGAAGUGCAUCGGAAACUGGGAAACUUGAGUGCAGAAGAGGACAGUGGAACUCCAUGUGUAGCGGUGAAAUGCGUAGAUAUAUGGAAGAACACCAGUGGCGAAGGCGGCUGUCUGGUCUGUAACUGACGCUGAGGCUCGAAAGCAUGGGUAGCGAACAGGAUUAGAUACCCUGGUAGUCCAUGCCGUAAACGAUGAAUGCUAGGUGUUGGAGGGUUUCCGCCCUUCAGUGCCGCAGCUAACGCAUUAAGCAUUCCGCCUGGGGAGUACGACCGCAAGGUUGAAACUCAAAGGAAUUGACGGGGGCCCGCACAAGCGGUGGAGCAUGUGGUUUAAUUCGAAGCAACGCGAAGAACCUUACCAGGUCUUGACAUCUUUUGAUCACCUGAGAGAUCAGGUUUCCCCUUCGGGGGCAAAAUGACAGGUGGUGCAUGGUUGUCGUCAGCUCGUGUCGUGAGAUGUUGGGUUAAGUCCCGCAACGAGCGCAACCCUUAUGACUAGUUGCCAGCAUUUAGUUGGGCACUCUAGUAAGACUGCCGGUGACAAACCGGAGGAAGGUGGGGAUGACGUCAAAUCAUCAUGCCCCUUAUGACCUGGGCUACACACGUGCUACAAUGGAUGGUACAACGAGUUGCGAGACCGCGAGGUCAAGCUAAUCUCUUAAAGCCAUUCUCAGUUCGGACUGUAGGCUGCAACUCGCCUACACGAAGUCGGAAUCGCUAGUAAUCGCGGAUCAGCACGCCGCGGUGAAUACGUUCCCGGGCCUUGUACACACCGCCCGUCACACCAUGAGAGUUUGUAACACCCGAAGCCGGUGGCGUAACCCUUUUAGGGAGCG
rnacentral:rRNA from 1 species